UUGCAGGUGAAGAUUCUUAGGAGGGAGUCCUACUGGUUCAAAGGCAUUGGAUCUGUUGUAGCUGUGGAUCAGGACCCCAACACCUGUUACCCAGUCGUCGUUCGAUUCAAUAAAGUUAGCUAUGCCAAUGUGUCCACAAAUAACUAUGCUUAGGACGAGAUUGAAGAAGUUAAAUGAGUUUUUAGUAGCAUUGUAAAUUGUAAUCUUAAUUCUCCUUCUAUCAGUUUCUUCCUUGUU